rnacentral:rRNA from 1 species
GACGGAGGGUGCAAGCGUUGUUCGGAUUGACUGGGCGUAAAGGGCGUGUAGGCGGUCGGCCAAGUCUGAUGUGAAAGCCCGAGGCUCAGCCUCGGAAGUGCGUCGGAAACUAGUCGGCUGGAGCGCGAUAGAGGAGGGUGGAAUUCCUGGUGUAGCGGUGAAAUGCGUAGAUAUCAGGAGGAACACCUGCGGUGUAGACGGCUUACUGGACCAUAACUGACGCUGAGGCACGAAAGCGUGGGUAGCAAACAGG